AUUGAACGCUGGCGGCAGGCCUAACACAUGCAAGUCGAGCGCGCGGCGGACGGGUGUGUAAUGCCUGGGAAUUGCCCAGUCGAGGGGGAUAAAAGUUGGAAACGACUGCUAAUACCGCAUACGCUUGGGUUGCCCAGGGGGGAUUAGCUAGUUUGUGGGGUAAUGGCUCACCAAGGCGACGAUCCCUAGCUGGUUAGAGGGGAUGAUCAGACACACUGGAAUGGAGACACGGUCCAGACUCCUACGGGAGGCAGCAGUGGGGAAGAUUGCACAAUGGGGGAAACCCUGAUGCAGCCAUGCCGCGUGUGUGAAGAAGGCCUUCGGGUUGUAAAGCACUUUCAGCGAGGAGGCGUUACUCGCAGAAGAAGCACCGGCUAACUCCGUGCCAGCAGCCGCGGUAAUUC
rnacentral:rRNA from 1 species